UUCCUAAGAAUCCAUGCGAUUCACUCUUCAUAGCUUAUUAUGUUCAUUAACCGAGUGUAUGGUACUCUCAUAAAGAACCGCUUCUCGAGCUUCUUUCAUGUUUUUUCAACUUCGCAUAAGUGUGAGCUCUUGCCCAAACCUGACUGCAAAAGUCUGUGAGUUGUAGCAACCUCCAGAAGAAAUUUCUGCUUUACCUCAUUGGUGUAGUUUGCUGACUCUAAUUAACGCUGCAUAUCGGCAGCUUGUUCGCCGAUAUUCCGAAGAAGUGUCUGCCUUAUCAACCUGAUGGUAGUCUAUCAGUAUACCAUGGUUAUUACAGGUAACGGAGAAUAAGGGUUCGACUCCGGAGAGGGAGCCUUAGAAACGGCUACCACAUCCAAAGAAGGCAGCAGGCGCGUAACUUAUAUAGUAACUCACCUGAGUUCUGGAA
rnacentral:ncRNA from 1 species